CCUACGGGAGGCAGCAGUGGGGAAUAUUGGACAAUGGGGGGAACCCUGAUCCAGCGACGCCGCGUGAGUGAAGAAGUAUUUCGGUAUGUAAAGCUCUAUCAGCAGGGAAGAAAAUGACGGUACCUGACUAAGAAGCCCCGGCUAACUACGUGCCAGCAGCCGCGGUAAUACGUAGGGGGCAAGCGUUAUCCGGAUUUACUGGGUGUAAAGGGAGCGUAGACGGUGCAGCAAGUCUGAUGUGAAAGGUCGGGGCCCAACCCCGAGACUGCAUUGGAAACUGGGAGACUUGAGUGCAGAAGAGGAGAGUGGAACUCCAUGUGUAGCGGUGAAAUGCGUAGAUAUCAGGAGGAACACCGGCGGCGAAGGCGGCCUGCUGGACUGAAACUGACGUUGAGGCUCGAAAGCGUGGGGAGCAAACAGGAUUAGAUACCCUUGUAGUC
rnacentral:rRNA from 1 species